AAGACCCUCUCUAACCCUCAGGUGGGGGAAUACCUGAGCACACCAUGUUCCAGAGAAAUCAGUGCAUGCAAAUGGCAAGGGACUUACUUUAAUCUCUGGAAUUCAGCAAAGGCUUCAUCAUAUGCUUUAAGAGAAAAAAAGAGAAGUUAGAAUGUUCUCACUCAGAACUGAGGACACAACAGGAGUGGAUUAAAAUUCACAGCCUGAGGUCGGUGUGAUCAGUCCAGACAUGACUAAGCUGACUUUGAAUAAGGCUAUGCCUCCUUUACUCUGCAACUUGAUGGAUUUCACAGGGGAAGCAAAUACUUUCUAGGGAGAAAAGAUGAAGUAGUGGAUUUUAGAAGCUCCCAAUUCGGUUGCAAGACCAUCCUUUCAAACAGAAAGGCAAAGAUUCACUCUGCCAAAGAUAAAAUGGUAAUAAAGGUGGCUAAACAUCCUGAGCAUCAAAAAGGCUUUUCUGUUAUUAAAUAAAUCAUCCCCCAUGUACGUCACAGCUUCCUAGCUGGACAGUUAAGUGUUUCCAUGUUGCAUAGUCUGGCCCGUCUAUCUGUGUGAAAGGGCACAGGAACUAUGACACUCACAGUGUGUGCCAGCGUGGGCCCGAAGCAAUGCUUCUGAGCUGGCCAGGAGCCGAGAUAAAAGACAGCAGAUGAGGAAAUGAGACACUGUUCUAAAAUCUCUUCUACCCCCUGAGCCUGCAGAGCAAGCCGCUUGGAAUGCUUCAGAUUCUAUUUUUAGGCUUCCGUGGUUGUUCAGAAUCUGGGCAAGGGGCUGAUUCUCCUGAGGAAAGCCAUCAGAACAGGACACCGGGGCUCACAUCCCAAAAGGCUAGUACAACAGACACCUUUCUGGGAGACUGAUGUUUCUGUAAUUUUCAUCAGACUUAGAAGAGACGGGGGCGCUUGGGUUCUGGCUUUGCUAGUGCCAAAUGCCAGAUCCAUGCUUCUACUUGGAGCCACUGUCUGCUGUCAUGACCUUUACACUCUGACCUCAUCCAGCAGUUCCCUGUCCAAAACAUUUUGGUGACUCACUCAGCUGAACACACCAUGUGCCAAGAUGCAAGCUUUCAAAAUCUUGUGCCCAGGAAAAGGAAAACAUUACAUGGAAUAGAUGACCUUGACCAGAAAUGAUUACUAAAAUCUCUGAAAUUUAGUUUUUUAAAUACAAAUAAAGUUUUAUUAUCCCAAGUCACAAAUUUUGUCAAAAACGUGUUUUUAGAUUCCCAUUUUACCUUCCAGAUUACAUUAGCUUCAAUUAGCAGAACAAUGCAAAAAAUAGGCAGCAUGCAGAUGUGUUUUGGCUCAUUCAUGAUUAUAUCCCUAGCAUCUUGUACAUGCAUGGUAUAUAGCAGGCAAUUAAUAAAUAUCUGCUGAAUUCACAUGUGAAUAAAAAUACUUCCAAAGCAUUUGAAGUCCAUUUGUUGUUAAUAAACUGAAAUUGCCCUACUGAACUGUGCUUAUUUUAUCAUACUGCUUAGGCAACUUCUUUUCAAUGUAAAGACAAAUCUUAGCUCUGGCAUACAAGCACAAGUUCUAUAAUGGAUUGGAAUUAAUAAAGUUCUCCUAUAACUUGUCACAGAAUGAAGGCUCAUGUCUGGGAUCAACUCUGUGCUGCAAUUCAUGCCCUAGAGCUUCCCCUGAAGGAAGCCAGUCUCCAACUGAGACCACAUUCUUGCUUAGCUGUCAUCUACCUUAGCUUGUUUCCCUAAUCCCCACUCCUGAGAGUACUCUCCCAUAAAUCAAUUGGAAGAGAAACUUAUUUCAGACUGUCCUUCUAAGGAACUUAGCCUAAGACUGUAAUUUCCACCCAAUGAAAUAGUAUAAGAACUAAUUUCGAUGACAAUGGGCAGGUCUCCACGUUCAGGGUACGUAUGUGUAUGUGGGCAACAACAUGAAAGCGUGUGCGAACACAUGAAGGGGAGUGUGUCUAUGUGCACGUGUGCAUGAGUGGUCAGAGGGUGAUGCCAACGCUGCUUUUCCUUCCCCUCCAUUGGUCAGGUGAUGAGCACACAGUCAAUGAGAAUAUUCUGAAAACAGGGAGAAGAUGGGCCACAGUGGACUCUGCGUGACCUAUUCGGGUUCUACACACAGUUGCUAAAUGAGUUGAAAAGAAAUACAUUACAUAUUUUUUGCUAUUUAUGUGAUUCAUUCUCCCCUUCACUAACGAAUUCUGAAAUGUUUUAAAAACAUAUCUUGAUGAAAGGAGAACAGGUUGUUAAUAUUGGCCACAAGUCACACUUCUCUCCCAUCUUCUGAGUCUCUCAUUCAUACCCGUGGCACAGGUAAGAGCCAGAGCUCCUAAACCCAAAUUCUUCAGUACCACUGAGUGCUGGCCUGAUCCUGGCUCUACUGAUAUCUAGGGAGGACAAAUAAAGUGCAGAUGUUGUAACUCUGUCUAUGGAAACUAUGUGUUGAAAGCAAAGCAAAGAGUAGAUAUACACAACUACCUAUGUAAAUAAGAUAUCAAUAGACAUACACACACAGAAGUGUAGAAUCAGACCAAGAAGUAUAAACCGAUAUGUGUAUUACAAAACUGUAAGAAUUUGUGAUUCUUCUGAGUCUUUAAAGUUUUUCUUACAAUAAAAAUGUAUUGCAUUUUAACCAGAAGACCAAUGAAAGAUAUUUUUACUGUAAUUUUUUCUGAGCCAUCAGAAUAAUAAAAGCCAUUUCUUCCCCUGUGAAGAACCAAGUUCCUGUUGGGGUUUCUGAUGGGAGUAUGUGAGUUUAGUUAAGCGUUCUUGCUCCUCUGACUUCUCAGGAGAGCAGCUCCAUUUGCACGGGUAACAAUACUUCUUGGUUUGCCUGGGACAGUUUUGGUUCGAUUGUUGUCCUGGAAAAAUUAUUACUAGAACCCUCUUUCAUUCUCAGAAGUGUCCCAGUUUGGAUAAUAUGAUAUAGUCAAUCUGUAUUUUCCUCUCCUUUUUUUUUUUCACGUAUGAAAUGACUUAAACCCCACCACUCCAUGCUCAGUGGUUUUCAUGACAACUUACCCGCAUCUUAAUAGGGCUUCCUCAGUACAUUCUACAGUGAUAAGUUUAGAAUCUAAAAAGCAUAAAACAUACCGGCCCUU